GUUUGUCUCUGAAAUAAAUAAAAAAAACUACAUGCGUGAAAAAAAAUUAAUUUACCGCAAUUUGACGUACAGUUUAUUUUUAUAAAUAAAUCAUAAAUAUAAUGAAAAUGUUUUGUUGUUUUUAAGGUAACUAUAGCAAAAGUUUCGUGUAAAAAAAGCGAUAAAAAUAUUUCGGUGACGCCACCACAUAUCCGCGAGUUCCGCCAAGAGAGCAACGAUUUGGUAAAGAUGCCCCAACGGAGGCUGUAAUUUGGCUAUUGUCACUCACCCAUUCCCCAGAAGACUGUCGCGAAGAAAGCCACGUAGAUGCGACUGCCCGUUGACGGAAUAAGCGCCAUCCCUGCUUGCCAGCCUCAAGAGAACUGUCAUGUGGCACACACACAAUUUUUACUUCACUUUACACAAAAACACAUGACAAUCCUUAUAUAUUCAAGUGUUUCAGCAUCACACACAUAAAAAUAAAAUAGUCAGUUCAAGUAAAAUUCACGAUGAAGCUCUAUAAUAUUUUUCUCUCGACGAUUAAAUAUAAUAUAUGUAUGUCGA